rnacentral:rRNA from 1 species
CCUACGGGGGGCAGCAGUGAGGAAUAUUGGUCAAUGGACGAGAGUCUGAACCAGCCAAGUAGCGUGAAGGAUGACUGCCCUAUGGGUUGUAAACUUCUUUUAUAAAGGAAUAAAACGAGGCACGUGUGCCUUGUUGCAUGUACUUUAUGAAUAAGGAUCGGCUAACUCCGUGCCAGCAGCCGCGGUAAUACGGAGGAUCCGAGCGUUAUCCGGAUUUAUUGGGUUUAAAGGGAGCGUAGAUGGGUUGUUAAGUCAGUUGUGAAAGGUUGCGGCUCAACCGUAAAAUUGCAAUUGAUACUGGCAGUCUUGAGUACAGUUGAGGUAGGCGGAAUUCGUGGUGUAGCGGUGAAAUGCUUAGAUAUCACGAAGAACCCCGAUUGCGAAGGCAGCUUACUAAACUGUGACUGACAUUGCUGCUCGAACGUGUGGGUAUCAAACAGGAUUAGAUACCCCUGUAGUC